UGAGUCUAGCAGCCUUCAAAGAAAAAUAACUCUCAAAACUGUUUUGGGGAUUCCUUCCGUUCGUAGUCAACUAGGUGGAUUACGUAGAGGCCGGAAUCACGAUAGAUUGCGGUUUGGUUCGACAGCAGAUCAGACUACUCGUUGUUGAGGUGUUACUGUCUACUCUGAAUAAACAUUAGGUAAUUUCGCAACCUCUUUCACCCCGAUUCGUUCCUCACACAUGGAUCCCUGGUUAGGAUCGCCGAAUUUUUAUUUUUCGCUGCGCCAUAGGGGUGCCGGCGAUCCAACA
rnacentral:lncRNA from 1 species